rnacentral:rRNA from 1 species
UGGGGAAUUUUGGACAAUGGGCGCAAGCCUGCUCCACCCAUACCGCGUGGGUGAAGAAGGCCUUCGGGUUGUAAAGCCCUUUUGUUGGGAAAGAAAAGCAAUCGAUUAAUACCCGGUUGUUCUGACGGUACCCAAAGAAUAAGCACCGGCUAACUUCGUGCCAGCAGCCGCAGUAAUACGAAGGGUGCAAGCGUUACUCGGAAUUACUGGGCGUAAAGCGUGCGUAGGUGGUUGUUUAAGUCUGUUGUGAAAGCCCUGGGCUCAACCUGGGAAUUUCAGUGGAUACUGGGCAACUAGAGUGUGGUAGAGGGUAGUGGAAAUCCCGGGGUAGCAGUGAAAUGCGUAGAGAUCUGGAGGAACAUCCAGGGCGAAGGCAGCUACCUGGAACAACACUGACACUGAGGCACGAAAGCGUGGGGAGCAAACAGG